GGAGAGGUGCCUGAGUGGCCGAAAGGAACAGUUUGCUAAACUGUCGUACUGGUAACGGUACCGCGGGUUCGAAUCCCGCCCUCUCCGC
rnacentral:tRNA from 6 species